AACGAACGCUGGCGGCAUGCCUAACACAUGCAAGUCGAACGAGACCUUCGGGUCUAGUGGCGCACGGGUGCGUAACGCGUGGGAACCUUCCCUUAGGUUCGGAAUAACUCUCCGAAAGGGGUGCUAAUACCGGAUAAUGUCUUCGGACCAAAGAUUUAUCGCGUUUGGAUGGGCCCGCGUUGGAUUAGCUAGUUGGUAGGGUAAAAGCCUACCAAGGCGACGAUCCAUAGCUGGUCAGAGAGGAUGAUCAGCCACACUGGGACUGGGACGCGGCCCAGACUCCUACGGGAGGCAGCAGUGGGGAAUAUUGGAAAAUGGGCGGAAGCCUGAACCAGCAAUGCCGCGUGAGUGAUGAAGGCCUUAGGGUUGUAAAGCUCUUUUACCCGGGAUGAUAAUGACAGUACCGGGAGAAUAAGCUCCGGCUAACUCCGUG
rnacentral:rRNA from 1 species